rnacentral:misc_RNA from 1 species
GAUGAAAACGUAGCGAAAUGCGAUAAGUAGUGUGAAUUGCAGAAUUCAGUGAAUCAUCGAAUCUUUGAACGCACAUUGCGCCCCUUGGUAUUCCAUGGGGCAUGCCUGUUCGAGCGUCAUUUGUACCUUCAAGCUCUGCUUGGUGUUGGGUGUUUGUCUCGCCUCUGCGUGUAGACUCGCCUUAAAACAAUUGGCAGCCGGCGUAUUGAUUUCGGAGCGCAGUACAUCUCGCGCUUUGCACUCAUAACGACGACGUCCAAAAGUACAUUUUUACACUCUUGACCUCGGAUCAGGUAGGGAUACCCGCUGAACUUAAGCAUAUCAAUAAGCGGAGGA